CCUACAACAUAUGAUACUGAACACAUAACUGCUGUUCCAGCGGGCAGAGAUCAAGAAAGAAAAGCAAACUUAGGUAAUCCACUUUCAUCAAUACAAAAGCCUAUACUUAAAAGACAAGCACGGGUAGAUUAUAGUCUUGAUAUAACAACAGAAGACCCUUGGGUUAAAAUUUCUGACUGCAUAAAAAGCUUAUUUAAUCCUACAAUGAGUGAAGAUAACGUCCACUUAGAUUUGCAACCUGGCAUCGACAAAACCAAAGAGAACCAAAAUCGAAGCAGCUCAGAGACAGCUCUGAAGAAAUCAGAAUCAGAAACAGUCAGUUCAAAAGUACUAAAAUCAGGUGAAAAUGACAGCACGAAAAAGGGUCCUCCUGUUGCACCUAAGCCAGCCUGGUUUCGCCAAAGUCUGAAAGGAUUGAGAAAAGCAAAUUCAGAUCUAAAACCACAGGCAGAUCAAAGUCCUCCUGACCCUGAGAGUAUUUCCAGCAAAGAACUGCAAUCCAGCUUAUCCCGAGUCUCCCCUAGGGGAUCAUCAAUAAAACAAAGAAUAAGCUCGUUUGAAUCCUUGAGUGCUCCACAGUCACCUGAAAAAUUACACCGAAGGUUUAGCCUGAAACCAUCAGUCCAGAAAGAACACUCUCCUACUGCAACAGGGUCAGAAGUGGCUCCAGCUCAUUUAAACCAAGCCCUUCUCCAACAUUGUGAAACUAGCCAACAACAGUCAAAGCCACCUGUGGUCACGGGUACAAAGAGCCUAGAUAGAUCUCCCUCUCCUGGGGAGGCCUUUGCGGCUAGCUUAGAGCAAAGCGACAAUGCCAACACUGAAAAUUCCUCGGGUCUCUCAACUACAGAAUCCGUUGCACCUUCCCAUCUUGUAUCGGUCGCAAAAGCACACAGCCUACGAUCACGAAGCUUCCCACUUACUGCUACCCAAUCUUGUGAGAUGAUGAAGACAUAUGAUGAAAAGUAUAGCAAAAUCUAUUCCAUCAGUAGCCAGGUGUCGUCUGCUUUAAUGAAAUCUUUACUUUGCCUUCCUCAGUCUCCAGUCUCUUCUGGAAACAGUGCAUGGGAAUAUCUGGACACAUUGUCUCAGUCCUCUGUGGAGGAGGAUGGGACUUCUCCCUCACCUGCAAGUGAAAAUCAUCACCUGGACACUGGAUUUUCACUAAACCUCUCCGAAUUGAGAGAAUAUACUGUGAACCUAGCAGACAAUGAGAAAGAGGAAGAGAAACAGGAACAUGGCUCACCUCAAGCAUCCGGUGUGUCAGGGCAGUCUGUCAUCUCUCUGCUUUCCCCUGAAGAGUUAGCAAAGCUUAUAGAGGAAGUCAAAUCGCUAGAUGAAGCAACCUUAAAGGAAUUUGAUGAUAUUCAUGUUACAAUUUUGCAUAAAGAAGAAGAUACCGGGCUUGGAUUCAGCCUGGCAGGGGGCAUUGAUCUAGAAAACAAAGUGAUAACAGUUCACAAAGUGUUUCCCAAUGGACUAGCAUCUCAGGAAGGAACUAUUCAGAAAGGAGAUGAAGUACUAUCCAUUAAUGGAAAGUCUCUUAAAGGUGCAACUCACAGUGAUGCCUCGGCAAUCAUGCGGCAGGCUCGACAACCCAGACAAGCUGUUGUUGUCACUAGAAAAGCUAAAGAUGGAGAAAAAAAUCUCAAUGUUUCAAUCAACUCUAGCAGAUCUUCGGUAGCAAGUGAUGCCUCACAAGAGUCUGGUAACAACUGAAGAUACAAUCUGCACUGUAAUUCUAGAAAAAACACCCGCCGGUUUAGGAUUCAGUCUGGAAGGAGGGAAGGGCUCUGUUCAUGGAGAUAAACCCAUCAUCAUCAACAGGAUAUUUAAAGGGACUGCAUUAGAACAAAGCAGCCCUGUUCAGCCUGGUGAUGAGCUACUACAAGUGCACACAACUGCCAUGCAAGGACUCACUCGAUUUGAAGCAUGGAAUAUAAUCAAGGCAUUACCUGAUGGGCCCAUCACAGCUAUCAUCAAGAGGAAGAAUCCAAGCUCUGUUACCACCAAGUCAUCUGAAACUUUGUAAGAGGAGGAAUUAGACUACUGCCAAUAUUACAAACAGAAAAGGAUUUUAUUACUUGCAGCCAUUUGGCAAGCACAGCAAGAUACUCAAAGUGCAUAUGAAAAGUAUGUAUGAUCUUAUUGCCAGCUACAGAGCAAACUGUCUGGGAUAAAGUAAGAUCUGCACAAAAUGUACACGAUUGUUAUUUCAGCAUUCAGAAACAGAUGUUCCAAAGUGUAGAAUUAUAUAUAAUGACCAUUAAUAAUAUACUGGUUGUAA